CGCUGGCGGCGUGCCUAACACAUGCAAGUCGAACGGGACUUAGUGGGAAAGCGGCUUCGGCCAAUGGAAGCUAAGUUUAGUGGCGAACGGGUGAGUAACGCGUGAGGAACCUGCCUUUCAGUGGGGGACAACAGUUGGAAACGACUGCUAAUACCGCAUAAUGUGUCUUGGGGGCAUCCCCGAGAUACCAAAGCUUUAUGUGCUGAAAGAUGGCCUCGCGUCUGAUUAGCUAGUUGGUGGGGUAACGGCCCACCAAGGCGACGAUCAGUAGCCGGUCUGAGAGGAUGAACGGCCACAUUGGGACUGAGAUACGGCCCAGACUCCUACGGGAGGCAGCAGUGGGGAAUAUUGGGCAAUGGGGGAAACCCUGACCCAGCAACGCCGCGUGAAGGAAGAAGGCCUUCGGGUUGUAAACUUCUUUUAGUAGGGACGAAGAACGUGACGGUACCUACAGAAAAAGCAACGGCUAACUACGUG
rnacentral:rRNA from 1 species